UGCCAAUGACGAGACCAAUCACAGACCUGUUCUGAGAGCAAUGAGGACAGCUUAAUAUCUCUGAGGCCC
ensembl:snoRNA